AUCGGACUUUUUUCUAGGUGGUACAAAAGCAAAAUCCAUAACUCAUUGACCUACCUCUUUAAGAGAUUAUAUAAGAAAAGUGAGGGGAAUUUAUAUUAGAGUAACAUAAUGUCUAGAGGGUAGACAGGGCUGCAGUGUGAUUUUUCUCUGUGUUUUCCCAUUGUGUUAGUAUCUGUUGGGUUUGUAACCUGCAGUUGCCCUAGACCACUAGUCUCUUCAGACUUUUGUCAGUGUUAGUGAAUAAGGGAGGGAGACAGUUCCCUCGAGAUAUAUGGGUGAUGGACUCUGGACCCUGUCUCCGACUAACAGAUUUUUGAACAAAUGCAGGUUAGUGAAAUGAUGAGAGUAGGUAAACCUCUGUUCAUGAGAAGCUUAGUUUUUACUUAUUUUAAUCAAAAUACUCAGUUCCCCAUUCACGAAUUAAUUUUUAAAUGAUAUAUAGAAAAAUAAUAAUAGUCUGCACAUAUAAUAGACUAUUCCUAAUGGACUACUUUUACUGUAGAAAGUAAUGUCUCCGAAACUAACAUAUCAUUUCAACUUCAAAUUCUCAGGGUUUCUUUUUAAAUGAGAGAAUAUUUACUUUUUGUUUUGUUUUGUUUUGUUUGUUUCUGCAUUUCUCUUUUCUACUGCAAUUUUCCACCCUUUGUGCAAUUGUGAACAAGGUAACGAAACGCCUCCCUUCCUCAGGAACAUCUACUAUCUUCAUGCUUUCUCAAACUUCCAGCAAUCACAGUUUCUCUUGGAGUGAAUAAGAAUCCGAAUCUUGAACUACCUAUGUUACUGUCCUACAAGCAUAUUGACAGUGGUUACAGCUAAGAAACAACGCAUGAGGAACAGCUACACAAAGUUACCAUCUCAGGAUACCCAAUAUGCAACAAAGUAAACCACUGUCUUGUGUCUAGGAUUCAGAAUAAAUGUCCAUUCAAAUACCAAAUGACUUUCUUCAGCAUUUACAGUUAUUGUUAAGUAGCCAUUCGGGCCAAAGUUCUAAGUUACAAAUUAUGUGAAAGUUGAAAGCAAGAAUAUUUAGAAUUUCUGGUUUUAGAUAGAAUAAUAUAACUACCAAAUGGGUGCUCUUUUAACCCAUGCUCUGUGAAUGGAUUUCACUACAAUAGUAUAAAGUAGAAGUUAUGCCAUGGGAAUGAAUAGAUUUUGCUAAUAUUCCUUUUGUUUGCCUGGCAGAAGAAAUAGGCUGUUUGGAUCAUAUUUCUUGUUCCUGCUGAAUGAUAAUCGUACUUUUUCAAGCAUCUAAAAGGAAUACUUGAAAAUACAAGAGGACUAAGUGAUACUAAUGCAUCCAAUAGGGUAGUUUUAAUCCUUUCUGUUCAUCGACAUGCUAAUUUUGUAUCCUUAGAAUAUCCUUGCCAAAAAGAUAACUUGAGCACUUAUGUGGAAGGAAUAUUUACCAUGGAUUUUUUUGGGGAGUGUGUGUGUGUGCGUGCGUGCGUGCGUGCGUGCGUGCAUGUGUGUGUGUGUGUGUGUGUGUGUACACCAAAAAAAAAAGUAUUUUUGUUCUUACAAGUUAAACCCCACUUAAUGAAUAGGGGUCUCUAGCUAUAAGAUUUGAAAGUAAAGCAUUUGCAAUCAUCUUAAGAUCCCCCCAAAAUAGUUACUGUAUAAAAAGACUUAUAAGUUUUAUUGAAGCCUAAGGUUAAAGUGGGAAAAACCAUAGUUACUCAAAAAAUGAAGCCAUUCUGAACAUGUCUUUUAUAGUGUGUGUGUGUGUGUGUGUGUGUGUGUGUGUGUGUGUGUGUGUGUGUGUGUAGAGAUAAAGAGAGAGGGAAAGAAGGAAAACUAGUUUAUUAGAAAUUUAACGUUUUUUAUUUGAAAGAGGUCUUGUUUGUGCAUCUACACAGCACUUUUUUGUAGGUGUCCCUCCUGCUGUGGUACCAGGUUGAGCCUACAGAGCCAUGAUUCUGAACUUGAAUGUUGUUUUUUAGCAAACUUGGCUAGGGUGAUGGUCUAAACUCGAAACCAUGUGCUUCACCUUGGUAAAGUUCUUAACUUACUGGACUGGGAGGUGGUUUUAGCCUCCUAGUGAGUUAUUUUCAAACAUAAAAAUGUGAAAUGUCUUUAAUUAUUAAAAAUCAAACACUUUUUUUUUUUUUGGCUGUUAAUGACUACUAGAUCAAAAUGGCCUUUCCAACAGUGUCUUCAUUCAGUUUCCUUUGAGUUGUCUUUUUGGCACGCCUGUCCUCUUAGUGUUUAUAUUGAACUGAUGUAUGUAUUUAGUCCAUACGGCACAUUUGAUUCUUCCAUAUAAUUUUGUGCUAAUAUGUAGGUGUGAUUUUUCUUAAAUCCUCAAAAAAGUUAUAUUUUCGGUUAUCAAAGUGCAUUCCCUGAUUAUGAACCCAUUUCAUUUGUUCCUGUCAAUCAAGUGUUAUUUUUAGUAUUUUGUUAGGUGUCAUUGACAGCUCACUGUGUUCUGGUAAGCCUGUAUUUAAGGUAGUCUGCUGGAAACAGUGUCUCUAUGUUCAUUGCCUAUUCCAAAGAGCUAAACUGUCCACCCAGGAAAGCAUUUGGUGUUUUAUUGUUGCUGCUGCUUUUAUGGUUGUUGGUGUAUUGUUACUGUUUUAUGUAAGAACUGCAGGGACUGUGAAUACAAACAGGAAAACUACAAUAAAUAGGCUUGUGUAAUGCACAACCGUUAGAGAUCUGGCAAAAUCAGAAUGUCCAGGCUAGUGGAAAUAAAACUGGUGAUAGAUACAAUCCCUGGCUGCCAGGCAGAUGAUGAGUAAGGUGGCUUGCUGAGCCAUGUGUCAGUGUACAGUAUCACAGCAGAGAAAUCUCGCAGUGACAACAAUGUGUACCGUCAUGGCCCAAAUCCUUACAAAAAAACAGACUUUACUUUUCGAAAAAUAGUUUAUAAAUGAGCUAAAAAAGGGGCUCUUGUGGAUUAACAGAUGGGAUCAUUUGAAGUGAACCGUCCAGUAUUCCUAGUACUACAUGGACUACUAGGAUCAUAGACACAUCCUUUGAAUGCAUUUGGAUAUCAAAGCAUUUUUCACAACUGUUGUCCAUUGUUGCCUACUAAUCUGAAAACAUGAAUUCCAUUAUCUACCACCUAGACACCAGCAACAAUAUAAAUGUAAGCCUAACUUCGCAAAAGUCAUCAUAAUUUAGUGAUGGGAUUUUUUUAAAUAACCCCGCAGUGUAUAAAUGUGCAGAUUUUAUGCAAGUAUUGACAAAAUCAUUUUUCAGCUUGCAAAAUGGGACUGCAUUACUACAUUUUUCACAUAAGCAAUUUUUUAAAUCUAUGUUGUUGCUUUCUAUAAUGAAUGUGAAUGCCAUCUUUUAUGAAUGCAACUUGCCUUUUUCAUUACAGAGAUUUUUUUUGUUUGAUGUAAUCAAUAAACUUUGGUAUGAUAUGAUUGA